UACGGGGGGGGCAAGCGUUGUUCGGAAUUACUGGGCGUAAAGGGCUCGUAGGCGGCCAACUAAGUCAGACGUGAAAUCCCCAGGCUUAACCUGGGAACUGCGUCUGAUACUGGAUGGCUUGAGAUUGGGAGAGGGAUGCGGAAUUCCAGGUGUAGCGGUGAAAUGCGUAGAUAUCUGGAGGAACACCAAUGGCGAAGGCAGCACUCUGGGACGUGACUGACGCUGAGACGCGAAAGCGUGGGGAGCAAACAGG
rnacentral:rRNA from 1 species